rnacentral:lncRNA from 12 species
CGCACCUGGCUGGGCAGUAGACACGAGUGUCUAUGUCUGGGCUCUUCACUGAUUCCUUUCUCAGGCUGCUGCUGUCAGGUACACAAAAGCGGUCAAAGAUGGCUUUUAUUGGCUACACUUUCUUACUAUGUGAAGAUGAAUUAUAACAUUUCUUUUUCUCUGCAGUCAAGACAUUUAUUCUGCUCCAGGAUCAGAAUCUUCCUUUUGAAACCAGGCUGUCCUAAAACAAGUCCCAGGACCCGAGGGGCAAACUUUUCCAGCCCAACUCUACAGGAUUUCAGGUGGAUUCGUGGCCUUAGGAUAAAACUUCUCCAGUUUCCAGGAAGCACCACAGGUGGCCAUUCCGUCUCCACUCUGUUCUGCUGACACAAUGAGGGCUUUGUUGGUCCCUUGGCAGGUGCUGGGACGCCACCUGAGCCCCAUUCCCAGGACGCCCCGUGUGCUGCCUCCCAGUCAGGUGAGCUAGGUGAAUAAUCUUCCCUGUCCUCCUUCUGGAUAUAUCUAAAUUACCUUGUUUGAAUUUCAAAACCCUUCUGGGAGGAGAGGUGGGGCAGCUAUUGUCAUCUUCAGGUUCUGUGUGGGGACACAGGAGCAGAGGUAAGGCUCUGGAGACAGCCCAUGCUGCAGGGAACACCCAGACAGGGACCAGAGCUGUGGGCCAGCAUCUCCUAUGACUUCAGUCUCCUUCCCCCAGCUAUCAGGUCUGGAUGACAGGUGCCAUCCUCUCUAACAGCAUCCAUUUUACUGAAAGAUGAGGCAUUGCUCUAAAGCCUCCCGACCUGAUGGUGAGUGAGAAAGCCCUAGGGGUGCUGCAGACAGUGAGCAUUAUAGAUGGAGGGCUAUGCAUGGUGAUCGGUGAUCAGCCAAACUCUGGAAGACACUGGAAUCCAUCCGAGCACUGAGGGUGGGAGAGGAAUUUGAAAAGCCAGGACAGAGGGAAGGGCAUACUCCAAAUGUGCAACCUGUAAGCCAAGACGUGGGGAAGGCAAGAUUAUGAGAUGGCCCACCUUAGAGCCUGCAAGGAGAUGGAUUUGGCAAGCUGGGCAAGGCAAAGAGGAAUGGAAAGAAGGAGCAAAAGGGAGAGGAGACAGCAAGAGAGAAUAUCCUGGGACGGGUGGGGUAGGAGGUAGUGGGGGGGGGGUGUCCAUGCCACCAGCAGACAUAUCAUAGGAGACAUAUGGUGUGUUGGGCUUUUGGUACCAUAGUUUCAGGUUUCUUGACAAAGACUGACUAGUCAUUCACCAUGAGGCAUUGCCCUCUUGGUGACUGUUUACCCGUCCCAGCACCCACUGCAAUUAAGGUGACCAUAAUUAAGGUGACUUAAUUAAGGUGACCACAUAAGGUGACUGACUUCUGGAAAAUGGGCAGAAGUGAUCCACAGUACUUCCAGGUGUGAUCCCCAAGUCCUCCUGUAUGACCCCUCACUCAGUCGUCUUCCUUAACUUGCUGCCUGGAUGCAGAGGGUUCAACACCCUAGGGGAGCCUGGGUCCUUGAAUCACCACAUGGAGGCCACACACCAAAUGCAUGCAGUGAACUGUUACGUGAGCAGGAAAUAAAUGUCUACUGUGAGAAGCCA